rnacentral:rRNA from 1 species
AGAGUUUGAUCAUGGCUCAGGAUUAACGCUGGCGGCGUGCCUAAUACAUGCAAGUCGAAUGGUUAGCUUGCUAACCAUGGCGAACGGGUGAGUAACACGUAGGCAACCUGUCUAUAAGACGAGGAUAACCAUUGGAAACGAUGGAUAAUACUGGAUAGGAUAUUGGAAGGCAUCUUCUAAUAUUUUAAAGAUUUAUCACUAAUAGAGGGGCCUGCGGCGCAUUAGCUAGUUGGUGAGAUAACAGCCCACCAAGGCGAUGAUGCGUAGCCGGACUGAGAGGUUGAACGGCCACAAUGGGACUGAGAACGGCCCAUACUCCUACGGGAGGCAGCAGUAGGGAAUUUUCGGCAAUGGAACCGAAAGUCUGACCGAGCAACGCCGCGUGAACGAAGAAGUAUUUCGGUAUGUAAAGUUCUUUUGUUUGGGAAGAAAAUAAAUUGACUGUACCAAACGAAUAAGCUCCGGCUAACUACGUGCCAGCCGCGGC